rnacentral:rRNA from 1 species
UACGGGGGGGGCAAGCGUUGUUCGGAAUUACUGGGCGUAAAGGGUUCGUAGGUGGCUUGCUUAGUCAGACGUGAAAUCCCUCAGCUUAACUGGGGAACUGCGUCUGAUACUGGCGAGCUUGAGUGCAGGAGAGGAACGCGGAAUUCCAGGUGUAGCGGUGAAAUGCGUAGAUAUCUGGAGGAACACCGGUGGCGAAAGCGGCUCACUGGAUCGAAACUGACACUGAGGUGCGAAAGCUAGGGUAGCAAACGGG